GUUGCUUUUGGUACUUUGACAGUUGGUCCCCGACAAAUCUCUGCCACUGCCAGUACUCUGUGUGUGUGUCUGCAGGAUAUGAAAUGUGCACCCUGCAAAAAGGGAAAGAAGAAACCGUGGGAAACCUGCCCGCCUGUCUGGUCUGCGUCUCUCUCUCUCUCUCUCUCGCCGAACAAAAGCGAAACACGGAAAACUGAUCGAAGAGAACCGAAAGAACAAAACCAAAAACGAACACGCUCAAAUAUCGCUUCGAUCGGCUUGGCCACAAAUCGUCGAUGCCAUCGAUCGUGGAUGUUGUUGGUCAGGAUUAUGGCAGCCCCGGAGAAGCGUUCCAAUUUAGCGCCCAAACCAAGUGUAGCCAAGCAGAACGGAACGAACGACUCUGAAGGAGGAAGAGUGGCAACAGGAGAGGAGAGGAGAUGAUCGACUGGGAGAAUGAUCUGUAAAGAGAGCAUGGAACUGAUGGGUUUAUAAAUGCUAGAAGGAUUUUCCACAUAGAAUCUUUAUUGUGUGUUCAAAUAUGAUGUACAAACCCACAAACUUAACUAGAAAUAUUCAACCAAAUGCUGUAGAACUACCUCCCGUCUGUUGCCUAUACACUCCCCUGCCUUAUAUCCCCCUUUGCUCGGCUCGUUCCCAUUCAAUGGGUAUGAAAACCCAAGAGUGCACUUAAGGGAUGGAACAAAAAGUGAUCGCAGAUCGAUCCACAAGUGUUGGCAGGCUAUGCCCCCCUCCACCACACUCUCUCGUAUGACCUGUUGUGCGUGAGUAUUGGUGUGUGCUGUGUGCGUGUCGAGAGGCACCUUACCGCAAGAACGGCAGAGCCAAUGAUGGUGAAAGGUUUCAGAUUUCAUCUGGUAGAUGUUGUCGAGGAAUAGGGAUAGUGGCUGCAGGUUUUGUUCGAGGGUUGGAAUGCCAUUCGAGUGCAUUGUGCAACUGAGAUUCGAUCCUCGCCAGCCAGGAUAAACAGCGUGUCAGAGUGUCGUCUGCCCUUGCUUCCCACUCCUGGGCUGCUUCUUUGGCUUCUUUCAGGCUUCCGCUUGUGUGUGUGUGUGUGUGUGUGUGUGUGUCUGUGGAAUGUGGAAAUCUUUAUCAAUUAAAUAAUCGCUGUAGAAAAGGGGCCUCAUCAUCAUCAUCAACAGCAGCAGCGGCAGAGAGGCAUAUCAGGCCUGCAGGCAUGUAUAGAACGUAUGGAAAGGAAGAAUACUU
rnacentral:lncRNA from 1 species